GUGGCUCAGAUGGUAAAGCGUCUGCUUGCAAUGCAGGAGACCUGGGUUUGAUCCCUGC
rnacentral:tRNA from 1 species